UACGUAGGCAGCAAGCGUUGUUCGGAGUUACUGGGCGUAAAGGGUGUGUAGGCGGUCUACUAAGUCUGGUGUGAAAUCUCCCGGCUCAACUGGGAGGGUGCACCGGAAACUGGAAGGCUAGAGUGCGGGAUGGGAGAGUGGAAUUCCUGGUGUAGCGGUGAAAUGCGUAGAUAUCAGGAGGAACACCUGUGGUGUAGACGGCUCUCUGGACCGCAACUGACGCUGAGACACGAAAGCGUGGGUAGCAAACAGG
rnacentral:rRNA from 1 species